AACGAACGCUGGCGGCAUGCCUAACACAUGCAAGUCGAACGAGACCUUCGGGUCUAGUGGCGCACGGGUGCGUAACGCGUGGGAACCUGCCCUUAGGCUCGGAAUAACUCCCCGAAAGGGGUGCUAAUACCGGAUAAUGUCCUCGGACCAAAGAUUCGUCGCGUUUGGAUGGGCCCGCGUUGGAUUAGCUAGUUGGUAGGGUAAAAGCCUACCAAGGCGACGAUCCAUAGCUGGUCUGAGAGGAUGAUCAGCCACACUGGGACUGGGACACGGCCCAGACUACUACGGGAAGCAGCAGUGGGGGAUAUUGGACAAUGGGCGAAGGCCUGAUCCAGCAAUGCCGCGUGAGUGAUGAAGGCCUUAGGGUUAUAAAGCUCUUUUACCCGGGAUGAUAAUGACAGUACCGGGAGAAUAAGCUCCGGCUAACUCCGUG
rnacentral:rRNA from 1 species